GUUUUAAAUUUGGCAGGAAGAUCAACUAUGUGAGUUACCUGAGUGAGCUGGAGGCCGUGGUGAAGUGUGACCAGCUGAUGAUUCCUGCCCGAGUCAGAGAGUAUGACAACAAACUGAGAGCAUCUUUGAAACCCAGCGCCCAACCCCCAACCUCUCCUCCUCGGAGCCCCCCUCUCCCAAACCAGGUGUUUGGGGUUCCACUCGCACUGCUGAGACAGAGGGAUCCAGAUGGUGAUCCAGUUCCUGUGGUGAUGAGGGACACUGUCAGCUUCCUGUCAGAACAAGG